GCAUACCUGGCUCCCUGUAUGCCACACUAGAGACCGAUCUGUGUAUCAGAUUGCCUCCUGGGUGGCGUACCGGGAGCCAAGUAUGC
rnacentral:pre_miRNA from 1 species